rnacentral:rRNA from 1 species
AGUGAACGCUGGCGGUAGGCCUAACACAUGCAAGUCGAACGGCAGCUCCGUAAGUGCUUGCUCUUACGGGCGUCGAGUGGCGGACGGGUGAGGUAUACACCGGAUUAUACUUUUUCGUGGGUGCUAACGCCGGGAAACUUACGCUAAUACCGCAUACGUCCUCCGUGUGUAAGCAGGCGUUCUUCGGACCUUUCGCUAUUGUAUGAGCCGAUGUAGGAUUAGCUAGAUAGCGGGGCAAAGGCCCACCAAGGCGACACUCCGUAGCUGGUCUGAGCGGAUGAUCAGCCACACUGUAACUGAGACACGGUCCAGACUCCUACGGGAGGCAGCAGUGGGGAAUAUUACACGAGGGGGGCAAGCCUGAUCCAGCCAUACCGCGUGGGUGAAGAAGGCCUUCGGGUUGUAGAGCCCUGUUGUUGGGAAAGUAGAGAAGCAGGUUAAUACCCCGCGGUACUGACGGUACCCAAAGAAUAAGCACCGGCUAACUUCGUG